GAUCACUUGCCUUUUUCCAUAACUGACCUGCCCCUUAGUAAGUCAAAAACUUGUGUUUCCCACAUCUUGUGGGGUUAUUUGUAUAUCUCAGGUGAAUAGAGAAAUGAUUAAUUGUUGAAAAAUUAAAAUUAUUAUGGGGAAAGAACGCCAGCAGAAGGUAGCUUCUGCUGGAAUAGUACUUGUAACUGCAAGGUGGGCCCUGUUUUCAGUUUGUAAGUAGAACAUUUAGAAGCUUGUCAACAUAUUAAAAAAUGGUCUUCUCUUUAAGCAUGAAAGAUUGAGUGAAAAGAGUUUUCAAGGAAAGGAUAUUUGAGAUUGCUUUUAUGUAUUUUUUUAAUAUUUCAGGGAACCUAAUGGGAAAUUCCAGCACUCAGCCCAUGUGUCUGUAAUUUAGCCCAUGUGUCUGUAAUAUGAUAAUGUUGAGAUAUCAAAGUGUAUUCUCUGCAGAUAUUUCACUAAGUAAUUUGAAUGCGUGACUUAGUGCCAUAGAGGAAGAUACUUUGCUAAGGAGGGGUUGAGGGGCAGGGCAGGGGUGGGAGUGUCCCAAUGGGGUGGACUCAGGAUUGGACAGUCACUGUGAGGGCAUGACCCAC
rnacentral:lncRNA from 1 species